GACGUAGGGCGCGAGCGUUGUCCGGAUUUAUUGGGCGUAAAGAGCUCGUAGGCGGCUUGUUGCGUCGGCUGUGAAAACCCGCAGCUCAACUGUGGGCUUGCAGCCGAUACGGGCAGGCUUGAGUUCGGUAGGGGAGACUGGAAUUCCUGGUGUAGCGGUGAAAUGCGCAGAUAUCUGGAGGAACACCGGUGGCGAAGGCGGCAUCCUGGACCGGCAUUGACGCUGAGGCGCGAAAGCCAGGGGAGCAAACGGG
rnacentral:rRNA from 1 species